rnacentral:rRNA from 1 species
AUUGAACGCUGGCGGCAUGCCUUACACAUGCAAGUCGAACGGCAGCACGGGAGCAAUCCUGGUGGCGAGUGGCGAACGGGUGAGUAAUAUAUCGGAACGUGCCCAGUAAUGGGGGAUAGCCCGGCGAAAGCCGGAUUAAUACCGCAUACGACCUACGGGUGAAAGCGGGGGAUCGCAAGACCUCGCGUUAUUGGAGCGGCCGAUAUCAGAUUAGCUUGUUGGCGGGGUAAAAGCCCACCAAGGCGACGAUCUGUAGCUGGUCUGAGAGGACGACCAGCCACACUGGGACUGAGACACGGCCCAGACUCCUACGGGAGGCAGCAGUGGGGAAUUUUGGACAAUGGGCGCAAGCCUGAUCCAGCCAUGCCGUGUGUGUGAAGAAGGCCUUGGUUGGUAAAGUACACUUAAGUGGGUAGGGAAGGACGUCGUACGU